UUCUGGCUUGUCUGGAAAAUUUUCAUGUUGUUUGUCAUCUGACGAGAGAUGCAGCGAAUAAGAUUGCAGUACACGGGCAGCACUCUCUGAUGGACAGCAACAACUGUGACAACGGAAAGGUGGUUGUGAAAAGAAAGUAACAGUUGACAGAUAAUAUCUAUUUUCUUGGGGCGAAGAUGUUGUGGGCAGUAUGGUUUCAUGGCAA